GUGGGGAAUCUUGCGCAAUGGGCGAAAGCCUGACGCAGCGACGCCGCGUGGGUGACGAAGGCCUUCGGGUUGUAAAGCCCUGUGGGGAGGAACGAACCGUCCGGGGGCCAAUACCCUCCGGGCCUGACGGUACCUCUUUAGCAAGCAUCGGCUAACUCUGUGCCAGCAGCCGCGGUAAGACAGAGGAUGCGAACGUUGCUCGGAAUUACUGGGCGUAAAGCGCGCGUAGGUGGCCUUGUAAGUCUCGUGUGAAAGCCCUCUGCUCAACGGAGGAAGUGCACGGGAUACUGCGAGGCUGGAGUACAGAAGAGGACAGCGGAAUUCCCGGUGUAGAGGUGAAAUUCGUAGAUAUCGGGAGGAACACCAGUGGCGAAGGCGGCUGUCUGGGCUGAUACUGACACUGAGGCGCGAAAGCGUGGGAAGCAAACAGGAUUAGAAACCCGAGUAGUCC
rnacentral:rRNA from 1 species